AUGAGCCGAGCGCCGGGGAGGUUUCCGCAGAGACAGCAGCCUCCUCUCCCUUCUGGGAAGCAGCCCCGAGCCAGCAGGCGCCGGAGGUGGCUGGGCCGGUCCCAGCGGCCUCCCCCAGGCCUGCAACAGAACGGCAGCCUGCAUGUGUCGGCACGUCCGCCGAGCCUGACCUGCUGGGGCCGGACCCCUCCAUCCCUGGCGCUGGCCCCCUGGAGCCAGCGGGGAAGCAGAGUGGGCCCAUCGCCGUCCUGCUGCCAGAGGAGCAGGCCCUGGCUUUGGGCAGGGAUUCCCCACCUGGCACCGAGGAGCUGCUCCCCCAACCAUCGCUGGGGCCUGUCCGCUGCGAGACAGGAGAGGCGUCCCUGCCUCCUGCGCCAGACCCCGUCCCGCCGGCGGCACCCUCCAGUGCUGCAGGAUCCUCGUCUCCGCUCCACAGCAAUGCCCUGCCCCUGGCAGCUCUGCCGUCCCGGGGCACCCGCCUGCCUUCCCGGGCCACGGGCGUGGCACACCCAUCCCCGGAGCUGUCCUCAGCUACAGCUGCCCAGCCCAGCCGCUCCGUGGCCCGGUCAGCUCCAAAUUCGCCGAGCUCCGGCCUGGAUUGCAGCCCCCUCCCGGCUCUGCCGCGCCUCCAGACCUCCUCCCCGGCACACCGGCGCCUCUCCUCCAGCGCCGCGGCCAUCUCCAGGUACAUCGCCGCCUCCUGCAUCAGCCAGAGCCUGGCCAAGAGAAAUGGUGCCUCCUCGGGGCCACCUGACACCCAGCCUCCUGCAGCAGAGACUCCGGCACCCACCAGGCCUCUGCCUGCUUGCACAGCCAUCCCGAGACCAUCCUGCCCUUUGGGACCACCUGGCACCCAGCCUCCGUUGGCAGAGACCCUGGCACCCACCAAGCCUCUGCCUCCUUGCUCAGCCAUCCCGAGACCGUCCUCCUGCCCCUUGGGAGCACCUGGCACCCAGCCUCCUGGAGCAGAGACUCCGGCACCCACCAGGCCUCUGCCUCCCUGCUCAGCCAUCCCGAGACCAUCCUCCUGCCCCUUGGGGCCACCUGGCACCCAGACUCUGUCGACAGAGACCCCGGCACCCACCAGGCCUUUGCCUCUUUGCUCAGCCGUCCCGAGACUGCCCCCUGGCCCCCUGGGCUCCAGAGUCCCAGCACCCCCAUCUGCUCCAUUCCCCAGUGAGAAGGCCAACGCCUGGUCUCAUUGUACCAGCAAGCAGGACCCUUCCCAGCUCAGUGUCUGCCCUUCCCCCUGUGCUAGCCCUGGGUCGCCCUCUGCCCCGGGCUGUUGCCGCGAUUCCAGCUGGCUGGGGGAGCCCAUCCCCUUGGUGUCUGGCUCGGCCGUGCUGCUGGCCUUCGACCGUCUCUCAGGGAUGUGCCUGGCCCCCCGGGGUAAGCAGCCCACCCCCUUCUCCACUUCAGAGCCCAGCUCCAGGGUCCAGUCUCCAGCGCCAGCCUGCCCCCGGGUGUGCUCCCCGCCUCCCUCCAGCAAGCGCCCCGCAGUGGGAAGAGGUGGCUGCGCCCCCCUGCAGCCUUGCUCCUUCACCCCCUUGCACGUCCCCACCCAGCCUUCCACCCUCCGCCUCUCCUCACCCCUGCAGCCCACCUCCCACCUCUCCGCCACGUUACCUCAGCCAGGCAGGAGGCCGAGGGGAAACCCCGAGAGCCCCCCGUUCCCUAGGGAUGGAGACAGGGCAGGGUGCUGCUCCAGGGCACCCUCUAGCAACUCAGCCAGUCCCAGCCCCGACGAACUGGAUGGCAUCAAGUGGCCGGACGUCCCCGGCUUGCGUUCCAGGUACGCUGACCGGGCAGGCAGCAUGGGGGCGCCGGGCUCACCGGAGGAGUAUCCCAAAGCAAGGGUGGACUCGGCUCGGGACACGGGACCCCAUCGGGCCAGCUACUCCACCACCGUCAAUAUCCAGAUCGGGGGCAGCGGCCGGAUCGCCUCCUUCAGCAACGCUCAGGUCAGCCUCACCCACCCGCUGCUGGCGGCGCCCGGGCAGCACAGUGCAAGGCGGAUCAAUGGCAGCACCUUAG
ensembl:lncRNA